rnacentral:rRNA from 1 species
UACGUCUACGGGACGCAGCAGUGGGGAAUAUUGCACAAUGGGGGGAACCCUGAUGCAGCGACGCCGCGUGAGUGAAGAAGUAUUUCGGUAUGUAAAGCUCUAUCAGCAGGGAAGAAGAUGACGGUACCUGACUAAGAAGCCCCGGCUAACUACGUGCCAGCAGCCGCGGUAAUACGUAGGAUGCGAGCGUUAUCCGGAUUUAUUGGGUUUAAAGGGUGCGCAGGCGGGAGAUCAAGUCAGCGGGAAAAUGUCGGGGCUCAACCCCGGCCGGCUGUUGAAACUGGUUU